CGAACGCUGGCGGCAGGCUUAACACAUGCAAGUCGAGCGCAUCCUUCGGGGUGAGCGGCGGCCGGGUGAGUAACGCGUGGGAACGUGCCCUCUUCUACGGAAUAGCCUCGGGAAACUGAGAGUAAUGCCGUAUACGCCCGCAAGGGGAAAGAUUUAUCGGAGGAGGAUCGGCCCGCGUUGGAUUAGGUAGUUGGUGGGGUAACGGCCUACCAAGCCGACGAUCCAUAGCUGGUUUGAGAGGAUGAUCAGCCACACUGGGACUGAGACACGGCCCAGACUCCUACGGGAGGCAGCAGUGGGGAAUCUUGGACAAUGGGGGCAACCCUGAUCCAGCCAUGCCGCGUGAUCGAUGAAGGCCUUAGGGUUGUAAAGAUCUUUCAGCUGGGAAGAUAAUGACGGUACCAGCAGAAGAAGCCCCGGCUAACUCCGUG
rnacentral:rRNA from 1 species